GGGAUUCUGUUCUACAGCAAACUUCACAACUCAAGAAAAGCACAAAAGAAUUUGAUCAAAGAAAGGAAGGAGAUGUUAAAUGCCAAACAUAGCGGCAAAUCGGCCAGGAUUUUCACAGGCAAAGAGAUAAUAAAAGCAACCAACAACUUCUCCAAAGACAAUCUCGUUGGGUCUGGUGGAUUUGGUGAGGUCUUCAAGGGCAUUCUUGAUGAUGGAACCACAAUAGCCACCAAGAGAGCUAAGUUGGGAAAUACCAAAGGCACCGAUCAAGUCCUUAACGAGGUUCGAAUUCUUUGCCAGGUGAAUCACAGGAGUCUUGUAAGACUUCUGGGCUGCUGCGUUGAGCUUGAGCAGCCUAUCAUGAUUUAUGAGUAUAUCCCCAACGGAACCCUCUUUGAUCAGCUUCAUUGUCACCAUUCCAGUAAGUGGAGGCCUCUUACAUGGCAACGCAGGCUACGAAUUGCCCAUCAAACUGCCGAAGGUCUAGCAUAUCUCCACUCUGCUGCUGUGCCUCCUAUUUAUCAUCGUGAUGUAAAAUCCAGCAACAUUUUACUUGACGAAAGGCUAAAUGCCAAAGUUUCUGAUUUCGGGCUCUCCAGGCUAGUGGAGACAAG
rnacentral:misc_RNA from 1 species